AUGGGCCUGCUCCAAUCCUGGCUCCGCCACUGUCUUGCCCCUCUCUUCAACUUAUGCAGUCUAGCAGCUAGUUACAUCCCCUGCAGUUCUUCCAGGAUGGAGACGGAUAAUAUAAGAAGUGAACUAGAAGCCCUAGAGCUCGUGUUUAAUGAUGCAAGUUCAGAGCCGAUGAAACUAUCCUAUGGACUUUUGAGAUCUAUUACGAACAAUUUUUCUAGUGAAAUUGGUUGUGGUGGGUUUGGAGUUGUUUACAUGGGACAUCUGGGAAAUGGGAAGGUUGCUGUGAAGAAGUUUUCCAAUCCACAUGCUUUGCCUGAUAAGCAAUUCUUGGGUGAGAUCACAUGCUUAAAAAAGACAAAGCACAAGAAUAUAGUAAGAUUUAUAGGCUAUUGUUCAGAAACAUAUGAGGAAUUGCUUGUAUUCGAUGGAGAAAAUGUAAUGGCAGAGGUACAGAAAAAGUUGCUCUGCUUUGAGUAUGUUCCUAAUGGAGACGUUCGACAUUAUCUUCACCAAGGGAAUCCUCAUGGAGAUGACUGGUCCGUACGCUACCAAAUGAUUAGAGGAAUUUGUCAUGGGUUGCACUAUCUUCAUGAUAAUUAA
rnacentral:rRNA from 1 species